GGGUUGAGCAGAUUCUGAUUCAGCAAUACAAGUGUUUUGCCUCUACGGAUAUCCACAAGAUCGAUCUGAAUUAUUUUCUUUUGAAUCCUACUUGCUUGAAUCGAAGGCCUAAAAAGAUUUGAACCAAGCCUAGAUAGGGAUCAACCCUUGAAUCUUUUUUGAUCUUUCUUUCUUAAUUUUUGAAGAAUUCAAGAAUCUUUCUUGAUCCCUCAACUAAUCAAGAAGAAUAAAUAUCAAAAAGUGGUUAUAACAAACUCCCAAUAAACUUGAGAGGAAGAAAAAGAAACCAACAACCUAGACGCCAACAUUUGACACCAAGCAAUAGGUUGCCGCCCAUUUCUCUCUAAGAUCCAAAAGGAGGAUGCCUAGAGAGAGAGAGGGCGUGGGCUAA
rnacentral:lncRNA from 1 species